CCCGUCCACCCCCGUCGGCCACCAGGUCCGACCCAGCGCCGCGGCGACUUCCUCUGCCCUAGCACCCUCUGUCUAUCACGGCGACGCCACUUUGCCCUAGCCGUUGCAGUAAAGGGGGAAAAUCUUGUUGUUUCUCUGGUCUCCUUCGAUUUCUUAACAUCGUUCUUCUUUCGGUCUCGGUAAUAAGCAGCGAAGAGGCGUGGGAUCUGUUCCACACCAGCCAUUUGGGUGAAGGGAUAGCUAUUGUCUUCACCAACUGUUGUCCGAUCUUCUUCUCUGUUCCGGCUCGGCACCAUUGUGGCAUUUGGAUUUCACCAGAGGAAGCUUCAGACCUGUUUGGGCUUUAGCUAUUCUUAUUGAGGAUGAUCCACAGCUUCGGACAUAACUUCCAGCAGCAAGAUCUGUGUUUGUGAGUUGGCAGGAAGAUACUUAGAGUGAGUGAAGAAUUUCAGCAGCCAACAACCCUUGACGGCAGUAAUUCCAGCCAGCAACUCUUUGAUUCCAGUACAAACCAGUGGCUGUGAAUUUAGGACUUUGAUUCGAGACG